ACGAACGCUGGCGGCGUGCUUAACCCCUGCAAGUCGAACGGAAAGGCCUGCUUUCCCUUGUGGAUUGCGGGUACUCGAGUGGCGAACGGGUGAGUAACACGUGAGUGAUCUGCCCCCAACUUGGGUAUAAGCCUGGGAAACUGGGUCUAAUUCCCGAUAGGACUGCAGGGUGGUGCCUGUGGUGGAAAACGAUUUUCUAGUGGUUGGGGAUGAGCUCGCGGCCUAUCAGCUUGUUGGUGGGGUAAUGGCCUACCAAGGCGGCGACGGGUAGCCGGCCUGAGAGGGUGGACGGCCACAUUGGGACGGAGAUACGGCCCAGACUCCUACGGGAGGCAGCAGUGGGGAAUAUUGCACAAUGGGCGGAAGCCUGAGGCAGCGACGCCGCGUGGGGGAUGACGGCCUUCGGGUUGUAAACUCCUUUCGACCGCGAGGAAGCCACCUGGUUGGAAGGGUGGUGACGGUAGUGGGAGAAGAAGCACCGGCUAACUACGUG
rnacentral:rRNA from 1 species